AGAAAUCAGGUGGUGCAUCGCCUU
rnacentral:siRNA from 1 species